rnacentral:rRNA from 1 species
AAGUUCAGAUGUGAAAGACCCGGGGCGUCAACCUCGGAAUAGCAUUUGAAACUAGGCAGACUAGAGUACUGUAGAGGGGGUAGGAAGUUUCAGGUUAGGUUAGCGGUGAAAUAGCGUAGAGAUCUGAAGGAAUACCGGUGGCGAAGGCGGCCCCCUCGGACAGAUACUGACACUCAGAUGCGAAAGCGUGGGGAGCAAACAGGAUUAGAUACCCUGGUAG